GCAUAUCAAUAAGCGGAGGAAAAGAAACCAACAGGGAUUGCCCUAGUAACGGCGAGUGAAGCGGCAACAGCUCAAAUUUGAAAUCUGGCCUCGGCCCGAGUUGUAAUUUGCAGAGGAAGCUUUAGGCGCGGCACCUCCUGAGUCCCCUGGAACGGGGCGCCACAGAGGGUGAGAGCCCCGUAUAGUUGGAUGCCUAGCCUGUGUAAAGCUCCUUCGACGAGUCGAGUAGUUUGGGAAUGCUGCUCAAAAUGGGAGGUAAAUUUCUUCUAAAGCUAAAUACCGGCCAGAGACCGAUAGCGCACAAGUAGAGUGAUCGAAAGAUGAAAAGCACUUUGAAAAGAGGGUUAAAUAGCACGUGAAAUUGUUGAAAGGGAAGCGCUUGUGACCAGACUUGCGCCGGGCUGAUCAUCCGGUGUUCUCACCGGUGCACUCUGCCCGGCUCAGGCCAGCAUCGGUUCUCGCGGGGGGAUAAAGGCCCUGGGAACGUAGCUCCUCCGGGAGUGUUAUAGCCCGGGGUGUAAUGCCCUCGCGGGGACCGAGGUUCGCGCAUCUGCAAGGAUGCUGGCGUAAUGGUCACCAGCGACCCGUCUUGAAACACGGACCAAGGAGUCAAGGUUUUGCGCGAGUGUUUGGGUGUAAAACCCGCACGCGUAAUGAAAGUGAACGUAGGUGAGAGCUUCGGCGCAUCAUCGACCGAUCCUGAUGUUUUCGGAUGGAUUUGAGUAGGAGCGUUAAGCCUUGGACCCGAAAGAUGGUGAACUAUGCUUGGAUAGGGUGAAGCCAGAGGAAACUCUGGUGGAGGCUCGCAGCGGUUCUGACGUGCAAAUCGAUCGUCAAAUCUGAGCAUGGGGGCGAAAGACUAAUCGAACCAUCUAGUAGCUGGUUACCGCCGAA
rnacentral:rRNA from 1 species